rnacentral:tRNA from 1 species
GGAGAGAUGGCCGAGCGGUCGAAGGCGCACGCCUGGAAAGUGUGUAUACGGCAACGUAUCGAGGUUCGAAUCCCUCUCUCUCCG